rnacentral:rRNA from 1 species
GGUUAAGCGACUAAGCGUACACGGUGGAUGCCCUGGCAGUCAGAGGCGAUGAAGGACGUGCUAAUCUGCGAUAAGCGUCGGUAAGGUGAUAUGAACCGUUAUAACCGGCGAUUUCCGAAUGGGGAAACCCAGUGUGAUUCGUCACACUAUCAUUAACUGAAUCCAUAGGUUAAUGAGGCGAACCGGGGGAACUGAAACAUCUAAGUACCCCGAGGAAAAGAAAUCAACCGAGAUUCCCCCAGUAGCGGCGAGCGAACGGGGAGCAGCCCAGAGCCUGAAUCAGUGUGUGUGUUAGUGGAAGCGUCUGGAAAGGCGCGCGAUACAGGGUGACAGCCCCGUACACAAAAAUGCACAUGCUGUGAGCUCGAUGAGUAGGGCGGGACACGUGGUAUCCUGUCUGAAUAUGGGGGGACCAUCCUCCAAGGCUAAAUACUCCUGACUGACCGAUAGUGAACCAGUACCGUGAGGGAAAGGCGAAAAGAACCCCGGCGAGGGGAGUGAAAAAGAACCUGAAACCGU